GGGAUUGCCCUAGUAACGGCGAGUGAAGCGGCAACAGCUCAAAUUUGAAAUCUGGCCCUAGGCCCGAGUUGUAAUUUGCAGAGGAUGCUUUUGGCGACGUGCUUACCGAGUCCCCUGGAAUGGGGCGCCACAGAGGGUGAGAGCCCCGUAUGGUAUGACACCGAACCUUUGUAAAGCUCCUUCGACGAGUCGAGUAGUUUGGGAAUGCUGCUCUAAAUGGGAGGUAAAUUUCUUCUAAAGCUAAAUACCGGCCAGAGACCGAUAGCGCACAAGUAGAGUGAUCGAAAGAUGAAAAGCACUUUGAAAAGAGGGUUAAAUAGCACGUGAAAUUGUUGAAAGGGAAGCGCUCGUGACCAGACUUGUGCCGGGCGGAUCAUCCAGCGUUCUCGCUGGUGCACUCCGUCCGGCUCAGGCCAGCAUCGGUUUUCGCCGGGGGACAAAAGCUUCGGGAACGUAGCUCCCUUCGGGGAGUGUUAUAGCCCGUUGCAUAAUACCCCGGCGGGGACCGAGGACCGCGCUUCGGCAAGGAUGCUGGCGUAAUGGUCAUCAGCGACCCGUCUUGAAACACGGACCGAGGAGUCAAGCAUUAGUGCGAGUGUUUGGGUGUAAAACCCGCACGCGUAAUGAAAGUGAACGUAGGUGAGAGCUUCGGCGCAUCAUCGACCGAUCCUGAUGUUUUCGGAUGGAUUUGAGUAGGAGCAUUAACGCUUGGACCCGAAAGAUGGUGAACUAUACUUGAAUAGGGUGAAGCCAGAGGAAACUCUGGUGGAGGCUCG
rnacentral:rRNA from 1 species